rnacentral:rRNA from 1 species
GGCUCAGGAUGAACGCGGGCGGCGUGCCUAAUACAUGCAAGUCGAACGGAGACAGCAGCAAUGGUGUCUUAGUGGCGAACGGGUGAGUAACGCGUUGGUGACCUGCCUCAGAGAGAGGGAUAACAGUUCGAAAGGACUGCUAAAACCGCAUGAGCUUGUCGGGCUUAGAAACCGAUAAGGAAACAGCGAAAGCUGCUCUGAGAGGGGCCUGCGUCCCAUCAGCUAGUUGGCAGGGUAACAGCCUACCAAGGCGAUGACGGGUAGGGGACCUGAGAGGGUGACCCCCCACAAUGGAACUGAAACACGGUCCAUACACCUACGGGUGGCAGCAGUAGGGAAUAUUGGUGAAUGGGCGAAAGCCCGACCCAGCAACGCCGCGUGUGCGAAGAAGGCCUUCGGGUUGUAAAGCACUUUUUAGCGGGAAGAGGAAGGACGGUACCGCUAGAAUAAGUCUCGGCUAACUACGUGCCAGCAGCCGCGGUAACACGUAGGAGACGAGCGUUAUCCGGAUUUACUGGGUGUAAAGCGCGUGUAGGCGGUCGAGUAAGUUGGAUGUGAAAGCUCCCGGCUCAACUGGGAGAGGUCGUUCAAUACUGCUUGGCUAGAGGACAGCAGAGGGGAGUGGAAUUCCGAGUGUAGCGGUAAAAUGCAUAGAUAUUCGGAAGAACACCAGUGGCGAAGGCGGCUCUCUGGGCUGGUCCUGACGCUCAGACGCGAAAGCUAGGGUAGCAAACGGGAUUAGAGACCCCGGUAGUCCUAGCCGUAAACGAUGUGGACUUGGCGUUGGAGGGUUUAAAUCCUUCAGUGCCGCAGCAAACGCGAUAAGUCCACCACCUGGGGACUACGGCCGCAAGGUUAAAACUCAAAG